rnacentral:misc_RNA from 1 species
GUACAUUAGUGCUUGCGCACGACAAUAAAUUUCAUUACAUUCGAGUCUGUGUAAAUUCCUCUGCCGGCCGAAGCUAGCAAAGGCCAAAGGUGCACAGGGUAUUGGAUGAAAGCCACCGACGUGCACUUGCCAGUUUCUGGCCAGCACAGAAGGCAACCAUUCGUAAUCAUUAAUGAUCCUUCCGCAGGUUCACCUACGGAAA